rnacentral:rRNA from 1 species
AUUAAACGCUGGCGGCAUGCCUUACACAUGCAAGUCGAACGGCAGCACGGGGGCAACCCUGGUGGCGAGUGGCGAACGGGUGAGUAAAGCAUCGGAACGUGCCCUGGAGUGGGGGGAUAACGUAGCGAAAGUUACGCUAAUACCGCAUAUUCUGUGAGCAGGAAAGCAGGGGAUCGCAAGACCUUGCGCUCUGGGAGCGGCCGAUGUCGGAUUAGCUAGUUGGUGGGUAAAGGCCUACCAAGGCGACGAUCCGUAGCGGGUCUGAGAGGAUGAUCCGCCACACUGGGACUGAGACACGGCCCAGACUCCUACGGAGGCAGCAGUGGGGAAUUUUGGGACAAUGGGCGAAAGCCUGAUCCAGCCAUGCCGCGUGAGUGAAGAAGGCCUCGGUUGUAAG